rnacentral:rRNA from 1 species
UACGUAGGGGGCGAGCGUUGUCCGGAUUUAUUGGGCGUAAAGAGCGUGUAGGCGGCCAGGUAGGUCUGCUGUGAAAACUCGAGGCUCAACCUCGAGACGUCGGCGGAAACCAUCUGGCUAGAGUCCGGAAGAGGAGAGUGGAAUUCCUGGUGUAGCGGUGAAAUGCGCAGAUAUCAGGAAGAACACCCGUGGCGAAGGCGGCUCUCUGGGACGGUACUGACGCUGAGACACGAAAGCGUGGGUAGCAAACAGG